rnacentral:rRNA from 1 species
UACGGAGGGUGCAAGCGUUAUCCGGAUUCACUGGGUUUAAAGGGUGCGUAGGCGGUCAGGUAAGUCAGUGGUGAAACCUCAGAGCUUAACUCUGAAACUGCCAUUGAUACUAUCUGUCUUGAAUUCUCUGGAGGUGAGCGGAAUAUGUCAUGUAGCGGUGAAAUGCUUAGAUAUGACAUAGAACACCAAUUGCGUAGGCAGCUCACUACGGAGUCAUUGACGCUGAGGCACGAAAGCGUGAGGAUCAAACAGG